AAAAAAUUAGUUAAAUAAUAACAAAAGUCUGUCAGUCUUUAAUUACUAUAAUAGUAGUAUUUUUUA
rnacentral:tRNA from 1 species